rnacentral:rRNA from 1 species
AAUAUUCGACAAUGGGGGCAACCCUGAUCCAGCCAUGCCGCGUGUGUGAAGAAGGUCUNCGGAUCNUNAAGCACGUUAAGUUGGGNGGAAGGGCUGUCGGCUAAUACCCCGAAGUUUGGACGUUACCAACAGAAUAAGCACGGGCUAACUCUGUGCCAGCAGCCGCGGUAAUCCAGAGGGUGCAAGCGUUAAUCGGAAUUACUGGGGGUAAAGCGAGAGUAGGUGGUUCCGUAAGAUGAAUGUGAAAGCCAAGGGCUUACCCUGGGAACUGCUUUCAGAACUGCUACGCUAGAGUACGGUAGAGGGUAGUGGAAUUUCAUGUGUAGCGGUGCAAUGCAAAGAUAUAGGAAGGAACACCAAUGCCGAAGGCGACUACCUGGACUGAUACUGACAUUGAGGUGCGAAAGCGUAGGGGAGCAAACA